AUGGGCUCGGGCCCCUGCAGCAGCCCCAUCCCCAUCUUCAUCUCCAUCCCCAUCCUCAUCCUCAUCCCAUCCCAUCCCCACCGCCGGAGCAGAGCCGGUGCCGAGCCCGGGCGCCCCCGGGGCCGCGGGCGCCGCGCCUCCAACUUGCCGCGGACUUUUCCCCGCUGCCGCGACUUCGGGAAAAGAAGAGCAGAAGGGACCCACGAGGAACACCCCCCGACUAGCGGAGGACGAGGGGAGCGGGAGGACACGCUCUCCCUCAGGCCGGUUACCGCCGUAAUCUCGCAGCUCCUCGGAGCGGGGAUAAAGGCGGCGGGGAUUAACCGGGUCAGCUGCGCGCAGCCCACGGACCCCCCCGGGACCCCCCGGACCCUCUCCCCGGGGCGAGGGCAGCUGCCGGCUCCCAGGAGGGGGGCGACCUCCCCCGGCUGCCCCCUGCCCCCGGACUCACCCAGCUUCUCCGCCCGCAGCCAGAGCGGGGCCGAGGCUCCCAGCAGCAGCGAGAGCAGCAGCGAGGGGGCGGCCCGCGCCCCCCCGGCGGGGCUCAUGGCUCCGGCACAACUUCCCCGCUUCCCUCCCGCUCCUUUCUCUUCCUCUCCUCCUCCUCCUCGCCGGGGCGGCCCCGGGGCCGGCCCUCCUGCCCUCCGAGGGGGGCGGCCGCCCCCUCGCAUCCCUCUGCCGCAGGUGCCGAGCAGGAGCAGGGGCCGCACGGGUGCCCCCCCCCCGAGCCGCGCUGCAGCGCUGCCGCCGCCUGCCCGGGCUGGGGGUGGAGAGAGGAAGCGGGAGAAGGGGCAGCGCCGCCCUUCCCAUCGGGCUGCCUCCUCCUCCUCCUCCUCCUCCUCCUCCUCCUUUUCCUUCUCCCGCCAGCCCCGCUGCCCCCUCCCGGGGCUGCCGCUCCGCCCUGCCGCUGCUUUUCGCCGCCUACAAGCUGAACCCCUCCGGACCUGCCCGGCCCCAGGGGGGCGACCUAUGGCACAGGUGGGGGCGGCCCCGUGCGCUGCUGAGGCGGCUGCUGGCCCCCAAAAAGAGCCCACUUGCAACCCACCUGGAGUCCUGGAGACAACCGGUGGUUAUUAG
rnacentral:lncRNA from 1 species